rnacentral:rRNA from 1 species
UGGGGAAUUUUGGACAAUGGGCGCAAGCCUGAUCCAGCCAUGCCGCGUGUCUGAAGAAGGCCUUCGGGUUGUAAAGGACUUUUGUCAGGGAAGAAAAGGGCGGGGUUAAUACCCCUGUCUGAUGACGGUACCUGAAGAAUAAGCACCGGCUAACUACGUGCCAGCAGCCGCGGUAAUACGUAGGGUGCGAGCGUUAAUCGGAAUUACUGGGCGAAAAGCGGGCGCAGACGGUUACUUAAGCAGGAUGUGAAAUCCCCGGGCUCAACCUGGGAACUGCGUUCUGAACUGGGUGACUAGAGUGUGUCAGAGGGAGGUAGAAUUCCACGUGUAGCAGUGAAAUGCGUAGAGAUGUGGAGGAAUACCGAUGGCGAAGGCAGCCUCCUGGGAUAACACUGACGUUCAUGCCCGAAAGCGUGGGUAGCAAACA